rnacentral:rRNA from 1 species
GUGGGGAAUAUUGGACAAUGGGCGAAAGCCUGAUCCAGCCAUGCCGCGUGUGUGAAGAAGGUCUUCGGAUUGUAAAGCACUUUAAGUUGGGAGGAAGGGCAGUAAGUUAAUACCUUGCUGUUUUGACGUUACCGACAGAAUAAGCACCGGCUAACUUCGUGCCAGCAGCCGCGGUAAUACGAAGGGUGCAAGCGUUAAUCGGAAUUACUGGGCGUAAAGCGCGCGUAGGUGGUUCAGUAAGUUGGAAGUGAAAUCCCCGGGCUCAACCUGGGAACUGCCUCCAAAACUACUGAGCUAGAGUACGGUAGAGGGUAGUGGAAUUUCCUGUGUAGCGGUGAAAUGCGUAGAUAUAGGAAGGAACACCAGUGGCGAAGGCGACUACCUGGACUGAUACUGACACUGAGGUGCGAAAGCGUGGGGAGCAAACAGGAUUAGAAACCCCGGUAGUCC